GUAAGACUGUCAGUGCGGCAGGCAGGGAGGUAAUCCAUAUCGUAGGUUGUGACAGAAUUAUCGACUGGCACAACAUUCAGUCAGACAGAUCUAGGGGCUUGUUGUGUGUUUCCUCGUUCAUUGAUAGUGCUUUAGGAUCUUAGUACAGUUAAAUUCUGUUGACUUUAAACUGAAAUUUCUUCAUUCUGUGUGAAUUCGGAAACUCUCUGGAUUGCAUCAUCUUUGAGAUUAUGAUCAUCCCUGACUCUAUAGAUCUACAUGUUCAGUACUGGUUUUAAAGUGUGUUUUAGUUGUGAAUAUAUCUAGUCAAAGUGUGCACGCGGAGGAAUUGUUUAUGAGAAUUCAUCAGCAGGAUUACGUCAUUCGUGCAGGAUCCCUGACAUCAUGAUUUGAUAUCAGGAUGUGGCGAUCGGAUGGUCAAAUGUUGACCACCACGAAGACUAAAACGGUUACAAAGCUUGUGCUGAAUAUUGCUGUGGUCGUCCUAAUAGUAGCCCAAAGCAAUGGACAACAGAGUGAAAAUUCCUGGACGUUCAGAAAGCCAGGGGAGUCCUACCUGGCCUUCACCCCCGAGAUGGCGGAUUCACAGAAACAGCAUUAUUCAUUGUCCUUCAAAACCAAACAAGCCAAUGGAAUUAUAUUGCAGCACAAAGUCGUGGACACCAACGCCAAGGGUAUCGCUGUCUUAUCCGAGUAUCAGCUUUUCCUGGAGCUGCGUCAAGGAAAACUCAGGGCAGGUUUCUCAAUCACCAACUUUCCCGAUGACGUCAUUGUAGGCAAAGGUAAGCUGAACAUGAAUGAACUUUGAGAAUAUUGCAUGAAAGUUUUUUGUUUCACAUGUUUCGGAUGUUCCUUCGGAAUCGAAUUUUUAUUAUACCUUAGCCCUAAUCUCCCGCAUGACUGCGUGGACGGCGGCAGGCAGGAUUUGAACUCUGAACAUUUGAGACUACAGGCCAGAGCGCAUAACACACGAUUAAACUGCAGAAUUGGUUUUCUUUCAUUUGGUCUUAGAUCGCUAAUGUACGGAACGAUUUACGGAAAAUUAACGAUGUAAGAUAAAAUGCUUCAAGUAAAAAAUUGUAUAACAUUUUUUAUCAGGACAUGUAUAUAUUUUUAUUGGGAUUGUGACGUCCUAGUUAAACGUAUAGGUAUCAACUCUUAACAGCUUUAUAAUUGAUUGUAUAGUUCUCUGUCUGUAAUAUCUGUAAAUAUGUUUAGCCACCGGUUACACAAACAAACUGUUUCUUCAACUUUCUCUCACUAAAGGAUUGAAUCUUAUAAAUUGGACCUUGAACUUCGAACUUUGAAAAACGAAUAUUUUAAACCUGCCUUAUACCUCUAGUACAGAAGUGUACGCGUUGGUGUUAUUUUUAGUAAAUUUUUACGACUUCAUGAGCGGAACUACGUCUGCACUCUGAACAUAAGAUGAGCCAGUUUCUAGAAUCUAGACUAGAGAGUCUUUAUAAGACUCUGCUCAGAAACAUUACAUUUAAAAGCUAUUUUGAAUAAAUUUGUUUUAAUGGUGUAACACUGUAACUCCAAUUUUUAUCAAAGCAUUUUUGUUUAUCGCUCAAUUGAAACCAAUUAACUUGAAGCCGC
rnacentral:sRNA from 1 species